rnacentral:misc_RNA from 1 species
CUUAAAUUCUUUGUCUAUGAUAAAGAUGGGGGAAGUCAGAAGCUGCUCAAAAACUUUGAAUAUGGCAUUGACCUUGAAAUCACCAAAGAGGUUUUAUUUGAUGACUUGUAGAUCUGUUGUCCCCUAAUGUCCGAAGCAAGUAUCAACUACAUCAAAGGUCCUACAAGCUUUUUGCAGUGGUAUACCACCAUGGGAAGAAGGCAACCGGGGGCCACUAUACAACCGCUGUUUUUCACCCUGCCAUCAACAACUGGAUCAUUAUUGACGACAGCCUGGUCAAGCAUGUGUCAGUUGGCACUGUGCUGAAGAACAUCCCAGGGCGUGUGCCAUAUCUACUGUACUACCGCCGCAUCGACAUGCACUAAGUGAAGGCACUUGGUCUGCUAUUGUCACUUGACCGUGUACGAUACAUCAUUAUCAUGCUAUUAUAAAACAGAAUGGAAGAUGUUCAUUAUUGAAUUGUAGAAUUAAAACAUAUUGUUGUAUCACAGAUUCUUUUUUAUGAAUCCCAGGAAGUAUUGUUAAAGGCUUCCAAUUAUUUUUGUUAUUUUAUAUGCCGGUAUAAUAUACAAUUUGCUCUCUUGAAAUUUAUUUCGCUUGAUGAGUCAAUCAAUAUGGAAAUUUCUCAAAAGAUGUUGAAAACACUUCAAGGGUUAUGAGCAAAUGCAUAAACAGCAUUAUACAGCACUGAAAUUGGAAGAUGAAUUUUGUAUUCAACAAAAAGAAUGAAAUGUAAAUAGUUCUGCUAUUUUUUGGUUUUGUGCAUUCUUUAUAUUUAUUACUAUUUUAAUUUUGAAUAACAGACCGAUUGCUGUUUUUGAAUGAGAACAGUGGAUUUCCUUCACAUUCCUAUUAUAUAAUGGGAAAUACCUUGUGAUUAUGGCAAUGCAUUAAUCACACUGUUUAUUUGUUUUUCUGAAGUCUUGAUCAAGAACUCAGGUUUCAGAAUUUUGACGAAAUUAAAUUUUCUGAAAUAAAAAUAGCUGGGGGUUUUUUUGCUAUCUUAGAGAAAUAUGAAAAUAAUUAAAAAUAUUUGUUGGCAAUGCUCAUUGUUUGGUGCAUUAUUACAUGUACUAUGAUUUGACUUGGGUCAAGAUAUAUAGACAGUAAGUCAUGAAAUACAUUAUGCACUGUGUCUUUAUUUCUGAUAAAAUAAUGUUGGACAUUUUGAAUGAAAAAUGUUAUUUAUGAAGGCUUAUGAAAUUAAAAUGUAUAAUUAUU